rnacentral:lncRNA from 1 species
AUGAUUGAAGAACUGACAUCAUCCUGGUGUCCAAAUGUGAAAACAAACACCAUUUCCUACUUUGACUUCAGGUCUGGAACAGCUUCUGUGCCCCUGAAAGCCUCCUGAGUUACCCUCUCUACUUCAGCAGCACUGGGUUGUUUUGCCUGCAGUCUCAAGUCUGCUGAGAUGCUGCACAUUGUGUUGUGGUGCUCGGGAUAGCACAUUUCCCAGGCAGAAGGGCUCCUCACUGACCUCUCGCUGGUACCCAGGGGUGAGUGCAACAGAGUGAUCUGACUUGUCGCUUGGCAACUUGAGCGGUAUGGCUCUAUAAUGUGUGGAUUUGUGGGGCAGUUUCUGGGCUUUGAGUGGGGAGCGAGGAGAAUGGCACUAACUCAGACUUCUCGUAUGACUUGAGCUGCCUUCUGAACAUUGCUG